rnacentral:rRNA from 1 species
UACAGAGGGGGCAAGCGUUGUUCGGAAUUACUGGGCGUAAAGGGCGCGUAGGCGGCCUGCUAAGUCGAACGUGAAAUCCCCGGGCUCAACCCGGGAACUGCGUCCGAUACUGGUUGGCUUGAAUUCGGGAGAGGGAUGCGGAAUUCCAGGUGUAGCGGUGAAAUGCGUAGAUAUCUGGAGGAACACCGGUGGCGAAGGCGGCAUCCUGGACCGGCAUUGACGCUGAGGCGCGAAAGCCAGGGGAGCAAACGGG